GGGUUGUGAGGUUAAGCGACUAAGCGUACACGGUGGAUGCCCUGGCAGUCAGAGGCGAUGAAGGACGUGCUAAUCUGCGAUAAGCGUCGGUAAGGUGAUAUGAACCGUUAUAACCGGCGAUUUCCGAAUGGGGAAACCCAGUGUGUUUCGACACACUAUCAUUAACUGAAUCCAUAGGUUAAUGAGGCGAACCGGGGGAACUGAAACAUCUAAGUACCCCGAGGAAAAGAAAUCAACCGAGAUUCCCCCAGUAGCGGCGAGCGAACGGGGAGCAGCCCAGAGCCUGAAUCAGUGUGUGUGUUAGUGGAAGCGUCUGGAAAGGCGCGCGAUACAGGGUGACAGCCCCGUACACAAAAAUGCACAUGCUGUGAGCUCGAUGAGUAGGGCGGGACACGUGGUAUCCUGUCUGAAUAUGGGGGGACCAUCCUCCAAGGCUAAAUACUCCUGACUGACCGAUAGUGAACCAGUACCGUGAGGGAAAGGCGAAAAGAACCCCGGCGAGGGGAGUGAAAAAGAACCUGAAACCGUGUACGUACAAGCAGUGGGAGCACGCUUAGGCGUGUGACUGCGUACCUUUUGUAUAAUGGGUCAGCGACUUAUAUUCUGUAGCAAGGUUAACCGAAUAGGGGAGCCGAAGGGAAACCGAGUCUUAACUGGGCGUUAAGUUGCAGGGUAUAGACCCGAAACCCGGUGAUCUAGCCAUGGGCAGGUUGAAGGUUGGGUAACACUAACUGGAGGACCGAACCGACUAAUGUUGAAAAAUUAGCGGAUGACUUGUGGCUGGGGGUGAAAGGCCAAUCAAACCGGGAGAUAGCUGGUUCUCCCCGAAAGCUAUUUAGGUAGCGCCUCGUGAAUUCAUCUCCGGGGGUAGAGCACUGUUUCGGCAAGGGGGUCAUCCCGACUUACCAACCCGAUGCAAACUGCGAAUACCGGAGAAUGUUAUCACGGGAGACACACGGCGGGUGCUAACGUCCGUCGUGAAGAGGGAAACAACCCAGACCGCCAGCUAAGGUCCCAAAGUCAUGGUUAAGUGGGAAACGAUGUGGGAAGGCCCAGACAGCCAGGAUGUUGGCUUAGAAGCAGCCAUCAUUUAAAGAAAGCGUAAUAGCUCACUGGUCGAGUCGGCCUGCGCGGAAGAUGUAACGGGGCUAAACCAUGCACCGAAGCUGCGGCAGCGACGCUUAUGCGUUGUUGGGUAGGGGAGCGUUCUGUAAGCCUGUGAAGGUGUACUGUGAGGUAUGCUGGAGGUAUCAGAAGUGCGAAUGCUGACAUAAGUAACGAUAAAGCGGGUGAAAAGCCCGCUCGCCGGAAGACCAAGGGUUCCUGUCCAACGUUAAUCGGGGCAGGGUGAGUCGACCCCUAAGGCGAGGCCGAAAGGCGUAGUCGAUGGGAAACAGGUUAAUAUUCCUGUACUUGGUGUUACUGCGAAGGGGGGACGGAGAAGGCUAUGUUGGCCGGGCGACGGUUGUCCCGGUUUAAGCGUGUAGGCUGGUUUUCCAGGCAAAUCCGGAAAAUCAAGGCUGAGGCGUGAUGACGAGGCACUACGGUGCUGAAGCAACAAAUGCCCUGCUUCCAGGAAAAGCCUCUAAGCAUCAGGUAACAUCAAAUCGUACCCCAAACCGACACAGGUGGUCAGGUAGAGAAUACCAAGGCGCUUGAGAGAACUCGGGUGAAGGAACUAGGCAAAAUGGUGCCGUAACUUCGGGAGAAGGCACGCUGAUAUGUAGGUGAAGUCCCUCGCGGAUGGAGCUGAAAUCAGUCGAAGAUACCAGCUGGCUGCAACUGUUUAUUAAAAACACAGCACUGUGCAAACACGAAAGUGGACGUAUACGGUGUGACGCCUGCCCGGUGCCGGAAGGUUAAUUGAUGGGGUCAGCGCAAGCGAAGCUCUUGAUCGAAGCCCCGGUAAACGGCGGCCGUAACUAUAACGGUCCUAAGGUAGCGAAAUUCCUUGUCGGGUAAGUUCCGACCUGCACGAAUGGCGUAAUGAUGGCCAGGCUGUCUCCACCCGAGACUCAGUGAAAUUGAACUCGCUGUGAAGAUGCAGUGUACCCGCGGCAAGACGGAAAGACCCCGUGAACCUUUACUAUAGCUUGACACUGAACAUUGAGCCUUGAUGUGUAGGAUAGGUGGGAGGCUUUGAAGUGUGGACGCCAGUCUGCAUGGAGCCGACCUUGAAAUACCACCCUUUAAUGUUUGAUGUUCUAACGUUGACCCGUAAUCCGGGUUGCGGACAGUGUCUGGUGGGUAGUUUGACUGGGGCGGUCUCCUCCUAAAGAGUAACGGAGGAGCACGAAGGUUGGCUAAUCCUGGUCGGACAUCAGGAGGUUAGUGCAAUGGCAUAAGCCAGCUUGACUGCGAGCGUGACGGCGCGAGCAGGUGCGAAAGCAGGUCAUAGUGAUCCGGUGGUUCUGAAUGGAAGGGCCAUCGCUCAACGGAUAAAAGGUACUCCGGGGAUAACAGGCUGAUACCGCCCAAGAGUUCAUAUCGACGGCGGUGUUUGGCACCUCGAUGUCGGCUCAUCACAUCCUGGGGCUGAAGUAGGUCCCAAGGGUAUGGCUGUUCGCCAUUUAAAGUGGUACGCGAGCUGGGUUUAGAACGUCGUGAGACAGUUCGGUCCCUAUCUGCCGUGGGCGCUGGAGAACUGAGGGGGGCUGCUCCUAGUACGAGAGGACCGGAGUGGACGCAUCACUGGUGUUCGGGUUGUCAUGCCAAUGGCACUGCCCGGUAGCUAAAUGCGGAAGAGAUAAGUGCUGAAAGCAUCUAAGCACGAAACUUGCCCCGAGAUGAGUUCUCCCUGACCCUUUAAGGGUCCUGAAGGAACGUUGAAGACGACGACGUUGAUAGGCCGGGUGUGUAAGCGCAGCGAUGCGUUGAGCUAACCGGUACUAAUGAACCGUGAGGCUUAACCUUACAACGCCGAAG
rnacentral:rRNA from 1 species